UACGUAGGGGGCAAGCGUUGUCCGGAAUCAUUGGGCGUAAAGCGCGUGUAGGCGGCCAGGUAGGUCCGUUGUGAAAACUCGAGGCUCAACCUCGAGACGUCGACGGAAACCAUCUGGCUAGAGUCCGGAAGAGGAGAGUGGAAUUCCUGGUGUAGCGGUGAAAUGCGCAGAUAUCAGGAAGAACACCCGUGGCGAAGGCGGCUCUCUGGGACGGUACUGAAGCUGAGACGCGAAAGCGUGGGGAGCGAACAGG
rnacentral:rRNA from 1 species